CGCUAGCAGGCGCCCCGCGGUAGCCAAAAAUGGAAGGAAGCACAUCUGCAACGCAUUUACGUGCUGUUCACCUUUGAGACCGCGCGGCUGGUUGGAGGCGGUGUUGCUUUUUCCUGUACACCUGACCUUUAACGUGACCAUGACCGGAGGCAGUGUCUGAGAGAUGGCUUGACCCUCUUCAGCGCUGACUUCCUUCCUAUAUCUCAGUCUGGUGGAAACACCGCCACCAUCCACCCCACUGCUCAGGAGAAACGCCUUCCUUCUUCUCACCUUCGGGCCCCGAUGGAGCAUCA